GUAACCUUGGCUACACUCUGAAAUUCACCAGACUUCACGGUGGUUUAUUUCAAUUUUUGCUCAAGGAAGAAAACAUGUACGACGGCCCUAUACUCACCGCGACACUCCAGCAACUUUGCUUCAUGGGUGUAGUGGUCCAUUAAUUUGGCCGACAU
rnacentral:snoRNA from 1 species